rnacentral:lncRNA from 1 species
UCUGCUGCUCACAACCACAAAAAGACACAAAGAUGAUGACUGCUGUUUUUCUCAGUAGAAACUGACAUCAAGCAUGAAGUUAGUGCGGACGAUUCAUCUAGACAGUUGCGUUCCACCUCUGAACUCCCUGAUCCUCAAGAUGUUGAAACCAGCUGCAGUGAAACGCUUCCAUGGCCAGAAUCUCUCUGCAUUAGUACCAGUUCUUCUCCGGAUGCAGCAAGAGCUGCUGAUGCAGUGUCUUCUGAUGAUUGCCCUGCGACUCCAGACUCGCUCAGUAAUGACCAGCACGAUUCAGACAAAGCAAGUUUCACAGAGCAGGUGAUGGAUGUUCGGACAGAAAUGUGCACCAAUGGAGAGAUCCAUCAAGUUCCUAAAUCACAGGAUCUUCAGAACAAAGCUGACAGACCCAAUAAACCACGGGCUGCAACCAUUCGUGUGAGCAGGAAGAAGCAGACGUUAUCAGGGCAGCGCCAGAGAGCCGACGUGUCUCGCAGUGAGUGUGCGGUGGCACAAUCCAGCUGGCUCGACGUAUGGAAGGGACGCAAGCACAAUGUUCUGUGGGCCACUCUAGAUGGACAUGCCAUGUCACUGUGGAAAAAGCGCACAGUGAGUUGUUUCAUAAUGGCAUUACAUUUAAUACAAAUAAAGUAUACAUUGCAAAUACUUA